rnacentral:lncRNA from 1 species
AUUGGUUACAUUAUUUGCCCUAAUAGUGAAUUUAACUAUUCAUAAUGAAGGAAGAAAAACAAUCAUUUGUCUUAUAAUACAUCAUCGGAUUUGUAGUAAAGAAGUAGAAGAAAAAGUGGAAUUAUUUCACCAAGGUCUCCUUCCUCUUCCAAUCAAUGUGUUAAACUUUCAAUUGCUUGAUGUUUUCCUCCGAUGAAUUUCUCUUUUGAUUCUCCAAUUAUGCUCUCUUGCUUCUCGGGCUUUUUUCGGGUCGAGCCAUGGGCGACUCGAGCCGAUAAGCCCAACUACCGUUCCUACCUACAUAAGCUAAUGCUCAAUAAGAAAAAAUCUUGCAUGUCAUGAGCAUGAAUAACAAUAAUAUAUGACACUAUGCCAUUUACUUUAGACAUUAUGCUAAAGAUACAUCAUAUUCAAGUAUUCGUCAAAUUCAACUCAAAAUAACUUCAUUUGAAAUCUUUUAUUAAGUCUUUGACCCACCUAUUAUG